UACGGAAGGGGCAAGCGUUGUCCGGAAUUAUUGGGCGUAAAGAGCGCGUAGGCGGUCCGAUAAGUCGGCUGUGAAAGUCAAGGGCUCAACCCUUGAAAGCCGGCCGAUACUGUCGGACUAGAGUCCGGAAGAGGCGAGUGGAAUUCCUGGUGUAGCGGUGAAAUGCGCAGAUAUCAGGAAGAACACCAAUGGCGAAAGCAGCUCUCUGGGACGGUACUGACGCUGAGACGCGAAAGCGUGGGGAGCGAACAGG
rnacentral:rRNA from 1 species